rnacentral:tRNA from 1 species
AAAAAACUAGUUAAAUUAUUAAAAUAACAAAAGAAUGUCAUUCUUUAAUUACUAAAAGUGUUUUUUA